rnacentral:lncRNA from 9 species
CAGCAACUGUAACUCCAAUUCGACCCCUAGCCUGGGAACUUCCAUGUGCUGCGAAUGAGCUCAGGUUGGGCUCUAUAUGACCGAGGAAGGAAAGGAGGUGGUCAGCUCAGUGCUGCCAAGAGAGGCCUCUGGGCCCCGGGAGAGCUGAGAGCAAAGAGGAGCUGCUCAUGUCAGAAUCUACUGAACUUCGGCAGCAGGAGGCUCAGGAUGGGACGCCCCUCCCUGAAGCGUCUGCAGCCCCACUGGGGCCCGUCAGGCCUCCUGAUGCACAGCAACCAUGGGUGUGCUAGGGUCCCCUCCUGUGCUGGGGGCCCCUGGGUUUGCCCUCAGAACCCCCUCUGCCUGCCCCACCCAGGUCCCCUCCUCCUUGGUCCCUGAAGAAAGAUGGGCCGCCUCCCCCGGGGCAGCCCUGCUGGAAGGAGGAAGUGCUGUUACCAAGGCCCUUCUCAGCCCCGUCUCCACUGCAGAACAAGCGGCCUCCCACCCUGGAGUCGUUUUCUGUGUGGCGGGUAACACGCCACACUUUUGUCGUUUUACGGUUUCCUCUCUUGGCAGAAUCCAAAAUGCUUUCACAUCUGUCAUCUCGUGGGACGGGAGACAGAGGAGGCUCUGGGGCCCGAGACGCUGGACUCCAGCCCUGCCUUGUCCCUCCCUUGGGGAGCAGUGUGACCUCUGAUGCCUCAAGGGCUUCGUCUCCUAAGCACUCGCCUCCUCAGGGGUCACAGAGUCAAAUGCCAGAGCUCGGUGCCCAUCGCGUGCGGCACCUGCAUCCUGAGCCAUUCCGCCAGCUCACGUCCCUGAGAGGCAGCGGGUGGCCACCAAUGGGCAGUGGUGACCUGGGAAGACCUGUGGGUUUUGGGGUUCAAGGGUGGCAUGAACAGGUCCCACCUGCGCCUUUGCAGGCAGGCCGGCCAGUGGGCUUGAUUUUCCUUUGCAAAGUUCACUCAACCCAACUUUUCUCACUCCUCCUCUGUUCCAGGCAGACACUGGGAGCCCAGACAGGAAUAAAAUGGUCCCUUGUGCAGAAGGGAUGUAUGAACAAAGGACAACACACUGUAAGAAGGAUAAUGGACGAGGGGGCGAGUGAGCGGGCGCUGGAGGGAUCAGCAGGAGUUCGUUAGAUCAGGAGGGUUGUGCAAAGGACAGAGGGCAUUCCCGGCAAAGGGGCCGGCAGGUGCAAAGGCGUCGCCGUGGGAAACGUCCCGGUGGUUGGGGCAUCGGGGUUGGUGUUUGGGAUGACCGGCCCGGCAGGGCUCCCGUCGCAGAGAAGCAUUCAAGGAUGCCAGGCACCUGCCCUGCUGGUCAGCCCCAGAGGGUCAGAUCAGGCCAGGCUUCACCAUUUAGAGGGCAUAUGAGUGAACUCAGCAGUAUGGCCAGAUGUGCAUCCUCGUGCCCAGGGAGCAAGGCGGUCCUGAGGCUUUUCUUGGUUGGAGUUGAGGGUACGUGUCACCCACAAACUCAGAGGUGGUCCUGGAGACGUGGUCACUGUGAUCGUGCUGGCGCCUGGGAUAGAGAUGCUAAGUGCCAAGCACAGAGAGGAGAUGGACAGGCCUUCAAUGCCCCCGUCACAGAGCAACUGAUGCCCUAACGGGGGGCGUUCGAUGUGCUUAACGGGCCGUAGAGGAGGGGCAGCCAGAAGGCAGGAGCAGGGCGUAUUGUAAGGAAGGCGUCUAAGCCAGAUGGUGAGAAGAAGCGUGAUGAUAGCUAAUGAUUACGGAGCGCUUAUCGUGUGCCAGGCACGGCUCGAAGCGUUUCAUAGGGAUUGACAUUCCGCCUACACAACAGUGCUCCGAGGCAGGUGCUGUUAGCAUCCUUAUCCUUACAGAUGAGGAGAAUUGAUGCACAGAGAGGCUGAGUAACUGUCCCAGGCACACACAGCUGGCAAGUGGCCUAGCCAGGCUCAUCCUGCGCCGUCUGGCCUCAGAGCCCACCCUCGAAUGACCUAGUGUCACCUAAACAGUAAGCCCUCGCCAAGAACUGGGACAUGUCUGACUCGUUCGAGCACACAGUAGGUCCUCGCUGAAAAUGUGUUCGCUCGUGAGGAAGCACACAUGCACGGAUGCAUCGAGUCCUAAAGCACUGGGACAGGACAUGGGAUGGGGACAGACAUUGCGGACAGGAGGUGCCCCUGGAGCAGGGGCCUCCAGGACCCGCGCUGGGAGUGGCCUCUGGGCCCUGGACUGAGCGCUGGAGGCUGGGGGGACCUGGUGAGGAAGUGAGGACGCAGAGCUUGCUUUUUCUUUUUCUUUUCGGGUCACACCCGCAGCAUAUGGAAGUUCAGAGGCUGGGGGUCAAACUGGAGCUACAGCUGCUGGCCUACGCCACAGCCACAGCAACACCAGAUCCGAGCCCUGUCUGCAGCCUACACCACAGCUCACAGCAACGCCGGAUCCUUAACCUGCUGAGCAGGACCAGGGCUCGAACCCAACAUCCUCGUGGACACUGGUUGGGUGCGUUUCCGCUGAGCCACCUGGGAGCUCCCAAGACGGCAGAGCUUGCAAGGCAGCCUCCUGUUCCGAAGACCUGGCACCUGUCCUCCUCUCCCUGCAAGCCUUUCCCACCCAACUUGUCCCACAGGGAGACAGGGGGGCACCGUGACCGUUGUGUCCCCAUACCUCUGUGCGUCAUCCAUUCUUUCAAAGCCUCCCAAAGGCCAAUCUGGGAACAGGACCAUAAGCUCCCAGAGGUGGCGGAGGCCUGCAUCACCCAAGAGGGGCUCGGGAAAGACAGCUCGAAACAUGCUCCCGUACGAGCUGGCUUUCUGAAUGCCUGAGGCUUCGGAAAGCUGGUAGAUGUCAGAGACCCUUCCUCCCAGCUCCGUGGGCUGUGGAUGGGACACCAGGGCUGGCACUUAGCUCUGUGGCUUCCUAGCUGGGUGCCGUUGGGUGAGUCGAUUCUAAGCCUCCGUUUCCAUCUCCGUACGUGGACAGAAUGAAAGUGGGCAAGGUUAGGGGAGACUCCCAUUCGGAAUGAGGCUCAGUGAGAAGGCGUUUGUCAGCUGCCUGCUUUGCUGCCAGGGCCUCAGUUUCCUCCAUAAAAUAAAGAUGCGGGGGAGGCUGAUUUUUAAUGCCAGGGCUUUUGACCUCCUAGGAUUCAAACCUGUCCACAUCAUUAGACUAGAUAUACAGACGUAUCACACUUCUGUGCUAUACGCCUCUAAAUGUAUAUGAUUUCAUCACUUUGAUAAAUUCAAAGGUGUACUAAGUUAUAUUUCCUAUGAUUACAAUUAUAAGCACACGGUUGGGAGUUCUCUCGUGGCACAGUGGGUUAAGGCAUCGGCAUUGUCACUGCGGCGGCUCGGGUCCCUACCCCAGGAACUUCCAAUUGCCAAGGGCAUUGCCAAAAAAUAAUUGUGUGUGUAUAUCUACACACACACACACACACAAAUAUAUACACAUGUAUAUACAUAUACAUAAUCGACAGCAUCUUUCGUUGUGUUUUCUUCUGGUUGAAAAAGUAAUACUGACUGGGAACGUUUUGGAAAAUACAGGAAAAGAAAAAACCCACCUACUCUUCCGCAUUGGACACAUUAUCUCUGAUACUUUGCGAAUUCCUCUCCUACCAUUUUUCCUCUGCACACACAGAUUUUUUUAUAUUUAAAAAAAAAGUGUAUUUGGGAUUAUACUCUGUCUCCUAUUUUUUAACUCAAGCUGAGCCGCUGAACCAGGUCUCUGGGUAGGGCUGUCGUCUCUGUGCCCAAGAUGAACCGGAGGCAGCUGCGGCCACAGCUGUCCUGGGCCCGCUCUCCGCUCCUGCCCGGGCGGCCGGCUGCAGGCCUCUGACCUUCGGAUGGUCUGUGUCUCUGGCAGCUGCCCGUUUUCCGCUAAUUUUAGCUCAGCCUCUCAGGCCCGCCGGCCGCGGGGGCCACACAUAAUGGACGCCUUAUGUAGACACAGCUGCCAGGGGUGCAGGAAGGAGUGUCCCACCUGAAAAUGUUCUCUGCUCUCGGAGAACAAGCCGGCUCCCUGUUCCUCCCUUCACCAGGAAGGGGCUGUUGUCGAUGCUCCCAGCCCAGCAGGCUGGACCUGGCGGGCAGGUGGCCCCCCAAACACACGGGCAAUUGCUUCUCUGCACGGGGCCGUGUUUUUACAGGACAGGCUUGAAUUGGAGCUGGAAGAGCUGACAGAGACUUCCCGAGAGAUUGCUGGGUGGUGGGUUUGCAGCAGGGCAGCUGGGGGUCCGAAGCGCCCCUGGGUGUGUAUGGAGAGCCUUCCUCCAGCCCCUACCGCAAGGCUUGACCUUAGACAAGGAUGUGCACACGUGCAAGGCCCGUCGCCAUCCCCUUUCGUCCUGAUGCCAGCCCUGUGUCUUGGGGGACAGAAUCCCCAUUUUACGGGCCAGGGAACUGAGGCUGAGAUGGAGACGUCAUUUGCUCAAGGUCCCCCAGACUAUCGGUAGGCGGGACUCGGACGUGAACGUGGGUCCCUCUCAGCCUCCGUCCGGGGCUCUUUCUCCUCACUGGCGCCACACAGGUGAGCGGUUCAGCCGGCUCGCAUCCAUCUGCUCUGUGUUCCCUUACGUUUGGUGCCGUUUUUCCAAAAUGGAGAGACUUUAAUGUUCACCUUAAAAACCGUACACGUUUAUUGAAAAGAAGCACAUACCCAGUUGGUCUGUUUCUAAAGCACAAAUCUGAUGGUGGGAGAUUCUCGCGUCGAAAGGCAGGACGACUCUCUUUGUCCACAGGGCUCAGUCCGUGCACCUGCGCCUGGCAUCUAUAACCCUCACGGCUUUGCUCCCACUGUCGCGCAGUCCAGGCUCCCCCGGCUCUUGGGUAUCUCUCCUGGGCACCAAGGCAGGGCUGCAGACUUUCUUCCCCACCUGCCUCUGGAGCAGCCUGGAGCCAUGAGGCAGGAACCUGGUGACUCACCUCCAUGACUCUGGGCCACACGGGUCAGACGGUGCCAAGACCCGUAAACCCUCGGUCCUGCACGAGAACCUGGAGCUUUGAUCCAGGCUCUAAGCCGAGGCCUGCCCGGCAGCUGCCGGCCCAAUAAGGAAGUGGCUGCCUGGCUUGGCUCCCGGGAGGGGCCUGCAGGACCAAGGCGAGAAAUGCCAACCCCGGGCAGGCUGGGAGGAGGAAACCGGACGGGCGUCCCCAGAUACGCGCGGGAGACCCAGCCCUUCCCCCACGGCAAACCUCCCGCCUCCCCCUCCCCCUUCCCCAGGCCCACAGUGACACAUCUGCCUGUGUCAUACGCCCCCAGGCUGGACAGGGGCUCUUUGACCCAAGUCGGAUGCUCUUCGGGAACAAUCCACAGGCAUCACGUGCUGCUCUGGGGAAGAGACGUUCUCUAGGGCCUGUCUUGGCUUAGUGAGGGCGUGACCCUCGCUCUCUGAUGCCAGGUGGGACUCAUCUUUGGGCUGCGGCCCCUCAGCCUCUCCGGCUCUGGUGCUUGGGACGUUACGGUGGGAGAGGCAAGGCCCUUCGAAUCCCACAGCCUCGGCUCCUGCCACUGCUGCCGUUUGCUAGCUCAGGGCUCCAUCUCUCUGUGCCCCCGUUUUCCCAUCUGCAAAAGGGGACGAGUGAGACCAGCCCUUCAGGGCUUUUGCAUCCCGCAGGAAAGUGCUUUUCAAAACUCCUAGCAGGGCAGCAGGCAUAGCGCGAGUGCCUGUGCUCUUUCUUCUGGAGGGUUCUCAAGGCCUCGAGAGCUUCUGAGGAGCACCCCGGGUUGCCUGGGGAGGGUGGAGAUCUCUGGGGAGAGGAGUGGGGCAGGGGGCAGGCUGCACAUGGCACAUCCGCCUAGCAGCCGUCACGUCUCUGAUUCUGACAUGGUCUUGGAAAUUUAGCCAAAGACAAACCAUUUGUUUUCCAAUGAAAGCCCGGGGAAAAGUGGAUUUUUAUAAUAAAAUUAUUUUACUGCACUUUCAGCUCUAGGAAGGAGUCUUUCAUGGAUUUGUCCAUUCAUUUAUUCAUUCACCCUACAAAUAUCUUCAUGGCCUUGACUACCUGCCAGAUGGGGCAAGAGAUGGACAAACAGGACAUGCGGGGACCUGUCAAUUGUCAUUCAGGGUGAAAAUGUAAGAAUGACCCGGGAAAGCCACAGGGUUGGGGAAGGGCAUGGCCAUUUCCUGCUGGGUUGGUUGGGAAAGGUUCCAUGGAGAAGGUGGGGCCCAGACGAGCCAGUUAGGAAGCACAGGGGGCAAAGACCCCAGUCCCCAAAGAAAGAGAAGCAUAAAAUUCCAGGAAUAAAUGCAGGAUGUCAUUGUGAAUUAUUCUGUAUGUUAAAUGAAAUCCCAAUCAAAAUCCCAGCAAAUUUUUUCAUAAAGUGAUUAUAACAUAUACAUCUGGAGGAAUUCCCUGGUAGCCUAGUGGUUCAGAAUCCAGCAUUGUCACUGCAGUGGUGCAGAUUUGUUCCCUGGCCCAGAAGCUUCUGCACGUCAUGGGUGCAGCCAAAAAAAAAAAUUACAUCUGGAAAAUAAACAUGAAUGAAUAGCCGAAAAAAAUUCAGUGAUGGUAAAGGAAUCGGCACCCACAGCAGAUGUGAGGGAGUGUGAUGUCUAGAAUUAGAAAGAAAAAGCCUAGAUGAUUCCUAACGGGCUCUAAGGAUGACCAGUCGGCUAUUUGUAGAAGGGAAAAAAAAAAA